rnacentral:rRNA from 1 species
AUUGACCGCUGGCGGCAGGCCUAACACAUGCAAGUCGAACGAGUGGCGGACGGGUGAGUAAUGUAUGGGACUCUGCCCGAUGGAGGGGGCUAACUACUGGAAACUGUAGCUAAUACCGCAUACCAUCGGAUUUGCCCAUAUGGGAUUAGCUAGUAGGGGGGGUAACGGCGCACCUGGGCGACGAUCCCUAGCUGGUCUGAGAGGAUGACAAGCCACACUGGAACUGAGACACGGUUCAGACUCCGACGGGAGGCAGCAGUGGGGAAUAUUGCACAAUGGGCGCAAGCCUGAUGCAGCCAUGCCGCGUGUAUGAAGAAGGCCUUCGGGUUGUAAAGUACUUUCAGCGAGGAGGCGUUACUCGCAGAAGAAGCACCGGCUAACUCCGUGCCAGCAGCCGCGGUAAUAC